rnacentral:rRNA from 1 species
AGAGCGAACGCUGGCGGCGGGCCUAACACAUGCAAGUCGAGCGCCCCGCAAGGGGAGCGGCAGACGGGAGAGUAACACGUGGGAACGUACCCUUUGGUUCGGAACAACACAGGGAAACUUGUGCUAAUACCGGAUAAGCCCUUACGGGGAAAGAUUUAUUGCCAAAGGAUCGGCCCGCGUCUGAUUAGCUUGUUGGUGAGGUAACGGCUCACCAAGGCUACGAUCAGUAGCUGGUCUGAGAGGAUGAUCAGCCUCACUGGGACUGAGACACGGCCCAGACUCCUACGGGAGGCAGCAGUGGGGAAUCUUGCACAAUGGGCGAAAAGCCUGAUGCAGCGACGCCGCGUGAGGGAAGAAGGCUUUCGGGUUGUAAACCUCUUUCAGGAGGGACGAAGCUACUCGGGUUAAUAGCCCAGAGGGUGACGGUACCUUCAGAAGAAGACCCGGCUAACUACGUGCCAGCAGCCGCGGU